rnacentral:rRNA from 1 species
GACGUAGGGGGCAAGCGUUGUCCGGAGUUACUGGGCGUAAAGGGCACGCAGGCGGUCUGCCACGUUCGCCAUGACAGUGUCGGGCUUCACCCGACAAGGAGGGCGAAAACGAGUGGACUUGAGACUCAGAGAGGAACCUGGAAUUCCGGGUGGAGUGGUGAAAUGCGUAGAUAUCCGGAGGAAGACCAAAGGCGAAGGCAGGGUUCUGGCUGAGGGCUGACGCUGAGGUGCGAAAGCUAGGGGAGCGAACAGG